UUCCGGUUGAUCCUGCCGGAGGCCAUUGCUAUCGGAGUCCGAUUUAGCCAUGCUAGUCGAGCGAGGUUAGCCCUCGCGGCGAACAGCUCAGUAACACGUGGCCAAGCUACCCUGCAGAGGGGGACAGCGUCGGGAAACUGACGGGAAUCCCCCAUACCGGUCUCACGCUGGAAUGCCGAGACCGACAAACGCUCCGGCGCUGCAGGAUGCGGCUGCGGCCGAUUAGGUAGUCGGUGGGGUAACGGCCCACCGAGCCGAUAAUUGGUACGGGGUGUGAGAGCACGAGCCCGGAGACGGAAUCUGAGACAAGAUUCCGGGCCCUACGGGGCGCAGCAGGCGCGAAACCUUUACACUGCACGAACGUGCGAUAAGGGGACUCCGAGUGCGAGGGCAUACAGUCCUCGCUAUUGUGUACCGUAGGGUGGUACACGACCAACAGCUGGGCAAGACCGGUGCCAGCCGCCGCGGUAAUACCGGCAGCUCGAGUGAUGGCCGAUUUUAUUGGGCCUAAAGCGUCCGUAGCUGGCCCUGCAAGUCCGUCUGGAAAUCCUCUCUCCUAACCAGUGGGCGUCCGGCGGAAACUA
rnacentral:rRNA from 1 species